UGGUGGGUGUCCAAGGGGAGGAAAUGGUGUCAGCCACAAUACCUGACCCUGUUCCACCACGUUCAGUCCACGUGCAAAGUGUGCAGCUCUGAAUAUUAGAGAUCCACCGAGGUGUCUGCACGGAGACCAGUUUGCAUACAGACAUGUCAUUUAUAAAACACAGAGCCUGUCACAGACACAGCAAAUCCAGGUGGGGAUGUGCCAAUGAGAGAACACAAUGGGUGGGGAGAGCAGAAAUGACCUGCUCCUGUGCUGACACAGGAUGUCCCACAGCCCUGUCUCACUGACAGGCUCUUCAGAGACUCACACAAACACCAGAUCACUCGGGCAAACACAGCCCCAGCCACGAGUCACUCACUCUGUGCUCCUCUCCCAUCACCCUUCAGUGGGAGCAGCUGAGCUGUGGUGCUGGGAAAACUCUGCAGCUUCCAGGGAAGAAAGAGCUGAGAAGGUGGAGCUGUCACCCACAGCUGGACACACUGGAGCACCUCAGGAGGACCUUGGUUGCUAACCCUGAGGGACCUGCUGACACCAGAACCCUAUUCCCCAGUACUGGCCCAUGGGAUCUGGCUCUCCAGGAGGUGAAGGUUGGCCAAGGUGCCAGAGUUACCAGGAAAACAAAGAAGCUGUUCAGUGAUGAACCAACAUUAUCAUCUGCUCCACAGAAUUUCUGCUGCUGUCCCAGACUGGUGGAACACAAGGAGCCCAAUCCCACUUGGAAACUAUUUUCAAGGUCUGAGACUGAUAGUGAAAAAAAAAAUAAAUAAAAAUCACAUUUUUACCUGAAAACUCAGCAAUCAUGGUGUGAAAUAA